rnacentral:lncRNA from 9 species
UCUCUGUUCGGUGCUUUCCCUCUUCUUUGGAUGGAGUGUGGACGAGGAAGGGGGAGGAUGACAGGGACCGCUGGGCAGAGCCUACAGCCUAAGUGAAGAGAGAGAAGCCAUAUUGCUUUCAUGACUGGACAAGCAUGAAAAUAAAAGCUUCCCUGUGACAAUGAUGGAGCAAAAUGAUAGAAGGGCCCCAGACUCCCUUCAGACUUCUUUUUAUAACUAGAACAACAACGACAAAAUAAUUUAAUUUGUAUGGAAACUCCAAAGCCUUGAAGAGCCAAAGCAGUUUUGAGAAAGAAAAGCAGAGCCAGAGGAAUGAGGCUCCCCGACUUCAGACUUUACUACAAAGCUACAGUGCUCCAAACAGUAUGAUAAUGGCACAAAAACAGAAAUAUAGAUCAGUGGAACAGCAUAGAAAGCCUAGAAAUAAACCCAUGGGUCUACGGCCAAUCAAUCUACAAAAAAGGAGGCAAGAAUAUACAAUGGAAAUAAAGGCAAACUCUUCCUUCAGUAAGUAGUGCUGUGGAAACUGGACAGCUCCAUGUACAAAAAUGAAAUUAGGACUCUCUAAUGCCAUACACAGAAAUUAACUCAAAAUGGAUUAAAGACCUGAAUUUCAAAUCAGAUGCUAUAAAACUCUUAGAGGAAAAACAUAGGCAGAAACAGUCUUUGACACAGAUUGCAGCAAUUAUCUUGUUUGAUCUACCUCCUAGAGUAAUGAAAAUAAAAAUAAAAAUAAAUAGACCUAAUUAAGCUUAAAAGCUUUUGCACAGCAAAGGAAACCAUAAACAAAAUGAAAAGACAACCUAUAGAAUGGGAGAGAAUCUUUGCAAAUGAAGCAACUGACAUGGGAUUAAUCUCCAAAAAUGAACACCUCAUGUAGCUCAAUAUAAAAAAAAAAAUCAAAAGAUGGGUAGAAUAUCUAAGUAGAUGAUUCUCCAAAGAAGACAUAGAGAAGACAUGAAGACAAGAAGAAAUGGAAAGAUGCUCAACAUCACUAAUCAUUAGAGAAAUGCAAAUCAAAACUAUGCGGUACCACCUUACACCAGUCAGAAUGGCCUUCAUCAAAAAAAUCUAUAAAGGGAUGAGAAUGUAAGCUUGCAAAACCACCAUGGAGAACAGUAUGGAAGUUCCUCAAAAAACUAAAUAUAGAGCUACCAUAUGACUCAGCAAUCCCACUCCUGGGCAUAUAUCCAGAGAAAAUCAUAAUUCAAAAAGAUACAUGCAGCCCAGUGUUCACUGCAGCAGUCUUUACAAGAGCCAAGACCUGGAAGCAACCUAAAUUCCAUAGACAGAGGACUGGAUAAAGAAGAUGUGGUACACAGUACAACGGAAUAUUUUUCAGCCGUAAAAAAAGGAGACAUGCCAUUUGCAACAACAUGGAUGGACAUAGAGAUUAUCAUACUUAAGUAAGUCAGACAAAGACAAAUAUGCUAUCACUUAUAUGUGAAAUUAAUGAAAAUGAUACAGAGCUUAUAAAACAGAAACUCAUAGAUUUCAAAUCAAACUUAACGGUUACCAAAGGGGAAUAAUGGUGCAUGCAUAAAAUAGACAGGUAAUAAGGACCUACUGUAUAGUACAGGAUAACUCAGUACUGUGUGAUAACCUAUAUGGGAAAAGAAUCUGAAAAGGAAUGGAUAUAUGUAUAUAUGCUUUACUUUGCUGUACACCUGAAACUAACACAACUUUGUAAGUCAACUAUACUCCAAUAAAUAUGUAUAUAUAUUUUAAAAAAUGGUCACUUUUAAAUAUCACAUAAACAAUCCCUGAAAUAAUCUCUCUCCACCUCCCAUUGACAGAAGAUAAGAAGUUUCUGAGUCAAAACUAUGAAAGAAAAGUUUGCUGUGCAAAAUCUCUGAUAAGUUUCCAGGAUUUGGAGAAAGAGUAUGCCUUCUUUGAAAACUAGUCUCAAUUUUAAUAAAUAUUUCUGCCACGAUAAUGAAUCCUACUGGAAACUGAUAUCCUGACCAUGGGUUUCUCGGUGAUUAUGUCACUGAGAUUUCGUUUCCUGAUCUGGAUAUUAUCAGAGCUAUCCUAUAAGGCUGGGCAAGUGCAAAAACAGCAAAUGGCUUUCAGCCUGAGCACAUCUAGAUCAUACUAGAAAAUUACACAGAAGGUUCAGACUUCCAUGUCACUUACCUCUGCUAUCCUCAAAAACAAGUACUAAUAGUUGUUUUAUAUGUUUUGUUAAAUUUAUAAGAUAUCAGCAUUAUAACCUUAUUUCUUUUUGUAGUCAACAUUGUAUAUUUUAAACAAUAGAACUGAUUGGUUUGUUUAAUUGUACUGCUAUACAUUGUUCUAUUACAACACAUUGUGAUUUAUUCUCUAUUUCAUUAGCAUCCAAGAGCUCAGUUACUAUAGUCAACAUCCUUAAUAAAUACCUCUUUAUCUUUCUCAUUAAUGAGAUUAGGAUAACUCUAUAUUGAAUCAUUUAAGUUUUUACUUCUGUUAUUUUUUUUCUCCCUUGGUUAUUUUUUACUGGGUUCAGUGGAAGUCAUUGGGUAUUUUAUGUAUUCUUAUUAUUCAAAGUAUUGAAUCCCAGGUUGUCACUUUAAUCUUAGUCUUGUGACUGAAAUGGAAUCUGUGAUGGACCACUCAGAUCCUUGUUCAGAGCCAGAGGGCUUAUUGCCUAAUUCAUGGAAAGUGAUACUUGCAGGCAGCCCAAUAAUCAUCCCUCAUUAGAAACUUCCUUGAGUGGAGUCAUUUGUAUCUCACCCAAAUUCGUACACCCUUCCCAGGGCAGCUUGCUUCCAGUCACUGGUCAAUGCAGGAGUCUCAGCCUCUCUCCUGCUUCAGAGAAGCCUUCACUGAUAAUGCAUCACUGCACUACUUGUCUCUCUAACCCAGUUCUGUUUUCUUCCCUUCCCUUCCUAUCACAGAUAUUGGCCUCAAGAACACUUUGUAAUAAACCUGCUCACUAAUCUCUUUUGUGGUCUGGUUCCUAGGGACACAACCUGUGUGAGUGACAAUCACUAAUAGAUAUUCUUACUUAUGUUGCCCAAUUUUCAUAUUAGUCAAAAAUCAAAUUGUAUGCUUUUCUCUUGUGAUUUGAGCUUUUACAUCUUGUUUUAGUAAACAUAAUUUAUGGUUAGUUUAGUUGUUUUAUUUUCAUACUCAGACCUUAUAUCCAUUUGGGAUUUUUUUGUUUUUGUUUAAUAAUUGUAUGUACUAGAGAUCCAAUUUUAUUUUUAAGUAGUAAAUCAAGUUUCUGGUUGCUUUCA